rnacentral:lncRNA from 1 species
AUGACCGAAAGCUACAGCAAGUCUAGAUGGCCCCUUAUAAGCGGUGCCAUUUAUUCACAAACUGGAGGAGGCAACAACAGUGGCAGAAAGAGCUGUGACGAUUCAGAGGCACCCUGCACUGAUGACAACAAAACAAGCCAAGCCAAAUGUCCUGACUUUGUCCCAGACCAAAAGUACAACAGUACCAGCAGUAAUGAUCCUGCACCUGCAUUUUUAGGUUCCAUCCCAGUGUCAGAGACACAAACACCCCCAGUGUCCCCAUCACAAGUCUUCCUCCAGUACGAGUGUGCCCCUUCACUUACCGUCCCAACGGAUACACCCCCCCAGUCUGCCUGUUGCAGUCACGCUGCCGCUCACACUGAGGAGAAUGUAGCAGGUCUCAGAUCGGAGGAUCCUAGUUGCCGUGACUACUGUCAGUCAGAGGCCCGCGACUGUGGGAGUGGCCAAGCAUUGCCACCUGGAGACUGUGGGAGUGGCCAAGCAUUGCCGCCUGGAGACUGUGGGAGGAGUCAGCCAUCAAACCCAGAAGACAGUGCUGGUAGUAAAGCCUCUGAACCAGAAGAUAGUGGGAGGAGCAAUGCAUUACAACCAACAGAUAUUGGGUGUGAUCUAGAGCAUUGUGGGAGUUUCCAUUCUCGAGCUCUACUGACUGUUUUAAUAACAGGCUCAGAUAAGGAAGGAGGGGGCCACGAGUUGUACUGCUUUCCCUGGGUUCAGACUGAACAGCAGUUAGAGGAAUCCCCUACCCAACCCACUCCAGCUGAGAGCCCCUUUUUCUUCCCCCUGACACGACCCCGAGCCCCACAGCCCCCCGUUAUGCCCGUCCUCCCGGAAGAAGAGGAGGAUUCCCCUGAGGAGCUCGACAGUUCCUCCAGCUCACCCAGCACAUAUACACCAGUUGAAAGUAGAGCAGUUACCGUGGCGAUGCCUGCUCCCACUAUUGUCUUCCCAAAGCAAGCUACCGUGACCGUGGUCCAAGCAGACGGUCGCCCUCUGGAACAGACCAGACCACACAGUCCCAGAUCUCGCUUGUCCCGAAACUCCCUGGGAGGACCAAUCACUACUGUCGACAGUACAGGCAAUGUGAUAGACCUGGUGAAAGACCAUCUGCCUGAGCUGCAGCUCUCAGAGGAGGACCGUCAGAAGAACCUGGUGCUGCUGCAGGAGGCCAAGAAAGUCAGCGACCGCUUCCUUAGCCGCAGGGGCCGAAAGUCCACCUGCAGCCUCUCUGAAUCCCCCACAGGUCUUUCUCCUAACCACACACCAUCCUCCUCACCUGUACCGUCCAGAAGCAGCUCUCUUAUCACAGCCCCUCAAAUAGGUACAUCUUUCUGUCUGUUAGAGAAUACUCAUGAAAACACCAGGAGGUUGGUGGACUGGAAGCCCAAUGAGAAGCGUAAGGUGUCCUCAGGCACCCUGGCUCCCCGCUACUCUGGCCCCCCACCCCCCAGGGAGCCCAAUGGGGGCCAGAAGGAGAACUGUGACCCCCGGGUAACAGCUAAGAAUUGCCCAGAACCAGUACUAGUCAAUAAGUCAGAGGAGGGUCUGGUUCGAGCCCCCAACCAGGCCCCUGCCACUGGGGUGGCCAAGCCUGUCCCUCGGCCCCCCACUCAACAGGCCCCCUGCACGGCAGAGAUCAAGACAAUCGGGGCCUUUCCUCCCCUCAUGAGAGCUGUGUCCUGGGACACUGUUGGAACCCUCAACGCCAGGAAUGGUGCACCAAGUCUCCCCCCUACAAACGAGGAAACCUUCUCCUUUCAAGACAAGACUCGGGAUGCCCUACUCAAGUCCUCUGGGUACAAGGACUUCCCUGUACAGCCUGUCAAUGUGCAGAAGCUGUCCAAAAUAAGAGAGGAGCACAAGCUGAUGCGGAACCAAAGCAUUGUGGGGUCAAAGUUGGCAGACUUGAGUGAAACAGCUGAACAGGAAAGAGGGUCUCCUACUGAUGAGGAGGCUAAAGAGAAGUCAGACGCCAUGCCCAACAUCUCAGACAUCAUGCUGAGGAAACUCAAACUGCACAGAGGGCUACCAGGCUGUGCACCUCCACUCACGGAAAAAGAAGUUGAGAACGCGUUUGUUCAACUGUCGCUGGCGUUCCGGAACGACAACUACACUCUGGAGACACGGCUCAAACAGGCGGAGCGGGAGCGGACCCUGACCGAGGAGAACACGGAGAAGGAACUGGAAGAAUUCAAAGGCUCUCUGAAGGUCAGCCUUUAUAACAUGGAGCAGCGGGAUUCUUACCAGUGCCUCAUAGAGACAGUAGCAGUACUGCACCGUCUGGCCACCAGGCUCUCCAGCAGAGCUGAGAUGGUUGGAGCAGUCAGACAGGAGAAACGUAUGAACAAGGCCACAGAGGUGAUGAUGCAGUACGUGGAGAAUCUGAAGAGGACCUAUGAGAAGGACCACGCUGAGCUGAUGGAGUUCAAGAAGCUGGCCAACCAGAACUCCAGUCGCUGCUAUGGAGGAUCCAUAGACACUGGAGUCCCACGGCCAUCCAGAUCAAUGUCGCUGACCCUGGGAAAGGCUUUGCCCAGACGGAGGGUCAGUGUUGCGGUAGUCCCCAAAUUUAACCUCCUGAACAUCCCUGGUCAGACCCCGGUCAUGGCAGGACCCGGCCCCAGCGUUACCAUGGGACCCGGCCCCCAACCCACCAUGGGCCAAGCACUUCCUGUCCUGGUAUGUUUUCUACCCAAUCACAACCUUCUCAGCCUGUCAACCUGA